GUGUGACGCCGGGCCCCUCUGACGAUCACCCGAUCGCCAUGUCGGAGUCACCUA
rfam:Pseudomonas sp. HPB0071 genomic scaffold aczIi-supercont1.1, whole genome shotgun sequence.